rnacentral:lncRNA from 7 species
UUUUCGGGUUAAACAAUAGAUUUCCGAAUAGAAAACGUGUGAUUUUCAGAGUUAAUAGGGGGUUUCUCGAAGGAGAAAACGCGUGAUUUUCAGGUUAAAUGUGGGAUUCUCGAAGAGAAAACGCAUGAUUUUCACUUAAAUGGGGGAUUCUCGAAAGGAAAAGCGUGAUUUUUGCUUAAAUGGGGGAUUUGCGAAGAGAAAACGCGUGAUUUUCGUGUUAAAUCGGGGAUUCUCGAAGAGAAACCACCUGAUUUUCGCUUAAAUGAAGGAUUUGCGAAGAGGAAGCCCGGGAUUUUCGCUUAAAUGGGGGAUUCUCGAAGAGAAAACGCGUCAUUUUCGGCUUAAAUGGGGGAUUCCCGAAGGAAAACGCGUGAUUUUUGCUUAAAUGGGGGAUUUGUGAAGAGAAAACGUGUGAUUUUCGGGUUAAAAGGGGAUUUUAGAAUAGAAAACGCGUGAUUUUGUUAAAUGAAGGAUAUCCAAAGAAAAC